rnacentral:rRNA from 1 species
GACGAACGCUGGCGGCGUGCCUAAUACAUGCAAGUCGAACGAGAGCGACCGGUGCUUGCUCUGGUCAAUCUAGUGGCGGACGGGUGAGUAACACGUGGGUAACCUGCCCAUCAGAGGGGGAUAACAUCCGGAAACGGAUGCUAAAACCGCAUAGGUCUUCGAGCCGCAUGGCUUGAAGAGGAAAAGAGGCGCAGGCUUCUGCUGAUGGUUGGACCCGCGGUGCAUUAGCUAGUUGGUGGGGUAACGGUUACCCAAGCCCGUGAUGCAUAGCCAACCGGGGGGGUGGACCGGCAACAUUGGACCUGAGCCCCGGCCCAAACCCCUCCGGGAGGCAGCAGUAGGGAAUCUUCCGAAAUGGACGCAAGUCUGACGGGGCAACGCCGCGUGAGUGAAGAAGGUUUUCGGAUCGUAAAACCCUGUUGUUAGAGAAGAACAAGUGCUAGAGUAACUGUUAGCGCCUUGACGGUAUCUAACCAGAAAGCAACGGCUAACUACGU